AUAAUAAUAAUAACCUGAGAAAUCCUGUAUUUACAACUUGCUAUUUACCUAAAUAUUAGUGCUCCUGUAAAAAUACCGAUUUUCCUUUUUUCUGUGUUUUUUUUUCAAGUUUGCAGUAUUAACUGCAAAUGAUCUUUUAUGAGGAAAAGCCCCAAAAAAAUCACAGAAUAGAAUCUCCAAUUUUAUGAUGUCAUCAAAAGGAAAAUAGAAUUUAGUACACAGGCAGCUUUUCUGGCACAAAUCCAUUCUGUUUACUGAUGUCUAUCUUAUUAAAUAUGCUUCCCAUCAAAUUGGGAGACCAUCACUUGUCCUUUUAGAGAAGAAAAGCUACAUCGUUAGGAGCAGUGGUGAUGAGGGCCCACCAUCCUGCAAAGCGAGGAAUACAGAGAGGACGCGAGGAGGCGUGCUGUACGUCCACGUGGCACAGCCAUGUGAUUCGGGAAGAGGAGACCAAAUGGUUUCGUGUCUUAAUCCCCAUGGACCAAAGUCACGCAAGCAUAUGUAAGAGCAGCUACUAUUCAGCACCUAUUCAGCAACUGUCAUUAGAGGUAACGUGCAUACAAACCGGUUUUCUAAGACAA